rnacentral:vault_RNA from 12 species
GCAUCGGUUUAGCUCAGUGGUUACUUCCAACAAUCGACAGUUGUCCUUUGACGAUCCGCGGGUUGUCAAGUUCGACCACGGGCGCUGUCCGAUGUUUUU